AUUUAUUUAGUAUAAUAGUACAGUUGACUUCCAAUCAAAAAGAUUGAUCAGUAAUCAAAAUAAAUA
rnacentral:tRNA from 1 species